rnacentral:rRNA from 1 species
AUUGAACGCUGGCGGCAUGCCUUACACAUGCAAGUCGAACGGCAGCACGGGAGCAAUCCUGGUGGCGAGUGGCGAACGGGUGAGUAAUAUAUCGGAACGUGCCCAGUCGUGGGGGAUAACGCAGCGAAAGCUGUGCUAAUACCGCAUACGAUCUAAGGAUGAAAGCGGGGGAUCGCAAGACCUCGCGCGAUUGGAGUGGCCGAUAUCAGAUUAGGUAGUUGGUGGGGUAAAAGCCCACCAAGCCGACGAUCUGUAGCUGGUCUGAGAGGACGACCAGCCACACUGGAACUGAGACACGGUCCAGACUCCUACGGGAGGCAGCAGUGGGGAAUUUUGGACAAUGGGCGCAAGCCUGAUCCAGCAAUGCCGCGUGCAGGAUGAAGGCCUUCGGGUUG